AGUGAACGCUGGCGGUAGGCCUAACACAUGCAAGUCGAACGGCAGCACAGUAAGAGCUUGCUCUUACGGGUGGCGAGUGGCGGACGGGUGAGGAAUACAUCGGAAUCUACUUUUUCGUGGGGGAUAACGUAGGGAAACUUACGCUAAUACCGCAUACGACCUACGGGUGAAAGCAGGGGAUCUUCGGACCUUGCGCGAUUGAAUGAGCCGAUGUCGGAUUAGCUAGUUGGCGGGGUAAAGGCCCACCAAGGCGACGAUCCGUAGCUGGUCUGAGAGGAUGAUCAGCACAACUGGAACUGAGACACGGUCCAGACUCCUACGGGAGGCAGCAGUGGGGAAUAUUGGACAAUGGGCGCAAGCCUGAUCCAGCCAUACCGCGUGGGUGAAGAAGGCCUUCGGGUUGUAAAGCCCUUUUGUUGGGAAAGAAAAGCAGCAGGUUAAUACCCCGCUGUUCUGACGGUACCCAAAGAAUAAGCACCGGCUAACUUCGUG
rnacentral:rRNA from 1 species